rnacentral:rRNA from 1 species
UACGGAGGAGGCAAGCGUUAUCCGGAAUUAUUGGGCGUAAAAGCGUCCGUAGGUGGCACUUCAAGUCUGCGGUCAAAGACCGGGGCUUAACCCUGGAAAGGCCGUGGAAACUGAAGUGCUAGAGUGCAGUAGGGGGUAGAGGGAAUUCCCGGUGUAGCGGUGAAAUGCGUAGAGCUCGGGAAAGAACAUCGGUGGCGAAAGCGCUCUAACUGGACUGCAACUGACACUGAGGGACGAAAGCUAGGGGAGCGAAUGGG